AGUGAACGCUGGCGGCAGGCCUAACACAUGCAAGUCGAACGGCAGCACAGUAAGAGUUUGCUCUUACGGGUGGCGAGUGGCGGGCGGGUGAGGAAUAUAUCGGAAUCUACUUUUUCGGGGGGGAUAACGUAGGGAAACUUACGCUAAUACCGCAUACGACCUACGGGUGAAAGCAGGGGAUCUUCGGACCUUGCGCGAGUGAAUGAGCCGAUGUCGGAUUAGCUAGUGGGCGGGGUAAAGGCCCACCAAGGCGACGAUCCGUUGAUGGUCUGAGAGGAUGAUCAGCCACACUGGAACUGAGACACGGUCCAGACUCCUACGGGAGGCAGCAGUGGGGAAUAUUGGACAAUGGGCGCAAGCCUGAUCCAGCCAUGCCGCGUGUGUGAAGAAGGCCUUCGGGUUGUAAAGCCCUUUUGUUGGGAAAGAAAAGCAGCAGGUUAAUACCCCGCUGUUCUGACGGUACCCAAAGAAUAAGCACCGGCUAACUUCGUG
rnacentral:rRNA from 1 species